GCAUUUAGAUGGCGAUCUAGUACUCUGGACAGUUGCAUCAGUUCCUGUGCGUGCGUGUAAAUGGCUGUGCUGUGGCUGCUGCUCCACGCUACUUUUUAUUCCCUAGACGCAGAAUAGUAAUAAAUCCUCCUCGGCUAGGAAAGGCUGUGAUCAUAAUAAAGACGUCACCCUCCUGCUCGGGUUGGCUCGACAAAGCCAAGUGCGCAGCUAUUUGUAAGCUACAACAACAACAACCUCCAGCACCAUGCCCAUGGAUAACGUAGGGAUUUCUCUGCGAUCCCCUCGCCGUGCGGAGACGAUAUCUGCGUCAGAUCCAUAGCAAAGCAAACCUUUAAUUGCUCCGGAUCUCUCGACUGUUAAAAAAAAAUCAGACAGUGACUUGAUCUCUUUGCAGUCUCUUCGCGACAAAUAGGACUCAAGCCGUGGAUUUGAAGAGUCAUGGAGGAAACAGCUGUUGCAACUCCAGCUCCUGGUGCCGCUGCUGCCCCAGCAACCCCAAAACCUCCACCUUCCUCCUUUGUACCCUCCCGCAGCUUACUAGAGUGGAGACGGAGGGUCAAGUCUGAGUAUAUGCGCCUUCGCCAAUUAAAACGCCUUAAAAAAGUAGAGGAGGUCAAGACCCUGUUCAUGUCCAACAGGCAAAAUAUUGAGGAGAAGACAAAUCUCCUGAAUGCAGAGUGGUCCAGACUCAGGAUUCAGACCAUUCCUCUGUCAACGUCUGGUGGACCUCUGGCCAACAAGAAGAUGUGUACAGUGGAGUUUGGCUUCCCAGAAUUCAAAGCUCAAGCCAUUGCCAUGAGACCACUGUCAACAGUGGCAGGGAUCCCCUUCAUGUACUCCUGGUCGCCUCUGCAGCACAACUUCAUGGUGGAGGAUGACACGUUCCUCCACAACAUCCCAUACAUGGGUGAUGAGGUGCUGGACCAGGACGAGGCCUUCUUAGAGGAACUCAUCGAUAACUACGAUGGUGUCCAUGGUGACAGAGAGGGGGGGUUUAUCAACGACGAGGUCUUUAAAGAGCUGGUGGAGGCCUUGUGCCAGUACUCGGACCACGAGGAAGAGGAAGAGGAGGAAGCAGCGGUGACAACGGCGGCGAUAGAGGUGACGGGAAAGAAGGAGGACGAGAGAGUGAUGAGGAGGAGCUCAGCGGAGGGUUCAGAAGAGACCAAACCUGGUGCUGCAGCAUUCAUCAGGAGGAAGAGGAGGAGCACUACUGAGGUGAGGGACCUGUCCAGCAGCAAGAAGGUCCCCAACGAUAAGAUAUUUACAGCCAUCGCCUCAAUGUUCCCUUAUAAGGGCACCACGGAGGAGCUGAAGGAAAAGUACAAGGGCCUCUUGGAGCCCCCGCGCCCGGUUAAGCUGCCCCCACUCUGCACCCCAAACCUAGACGGACCUUUUGCUAAGUCUGUACAGCGGGAGCAGUCGUUACACUCCUUCCACACGCUCUUCUGCAGACGUUGCUUUAAAUACGACUGUUUCCUCCACCCUUUCCAUGCUACACCCAAUGUUUACAAGAGGAAGAUAAAGGAGAUCCGCAUAGAGACUGAACCAUGUGGCGUAGACUGCUUCCUGUUACAGAAAGGGGCUAAAGAGUUUGUGGAUCAAAAUAUGCUGCGGUCACCAAAGUCUCGGAGGCGCCAAAGGCAGCAGCGCCCCACCAGCUCCAGCUGUCCUGGACCGUCUGCAUCUGCUGAGGAAGUACAAGAGAGUGACCAUGAAGCCACUUCCUCCUCCGAGGAGAAUUCGCGAUGCCAGACUCCCACCAAGCUGCGUCCAGGGGUUGAUGACGGGGAGACGAGCUGUGUGGUCCAGUGGAGCGGGGCGGAGGAGUCCCUGUUCAGAGUGCUACACGGCACAUACUUCAACAACUUCUGCUCCAUCGCUCGCCUCAUCGGUACCAAGAACUGCAAGGAGGUGUACGAGUUUGCGGUGAAGGAGGUCCUGGUCCAUCGUGUUCCUUUGGUUGAUGGAGGCAUCGCGCCCCAGAAGAAGAAACGGAAACACAGGUUAUGGGCUAAGAUUCAGCUAAAGAAAGAUAACUCGUCCAAUCAGGUGUACAAAUACCAACCAUGUGAUCACCCCGACCAUCCAUGCGACAGCUCCUGCCCAUGUGUGAUGAGCCAGAAUUUCUGUGAGAAGUUCUGCCAGUGCGAGCAGGAGUGCCAGAACCGCUUCCCGGGCUGCAGGUGUAAGACACAGUGCAACACUAAGCAGUGUCCCUGCUACCUGGCUGUGAGGGAAUGUGACCCGGAUCUGUGCAUGAGCUGCGGCACUGCAGAGCACUGGGACAGCAAAAUGAUCUCCUGCAAGAACUGCAGCAUCCAGAGGGGGCUAAAAAAGCACCUGCUUUUGGCUCCAUCAGAUGUGGCAGGAUGGGGCACCUUCAUCAAAGAGUCAGUUCAGAAGAAUGAGUUCAUCUCUGAAUACUGCGGAGAGCUGAUCUCCCAGGAUGAGGCAGACCGACGUGGAAGGAUUUAUGACAAAUACAUGUCUAGCUUCCUUUUCAACUUGAACAAUGACUUCGUGGUGGAUGCCACCCGAAAGGGGAACAAAAUCCGGUUUGCAAAUCAUUCAGUUAAUCCCAACUGCUACGCAAAAGUGGUAAUGGUAAAUGGAGACCAUCGCAUUGGAAUCUUUGCCAAACGAGCUAUUCUACAAGGAGAGGAGCUAUUCUUCGACUACAGGUAGAGUCACAGGCCUUUUAGUGACUCUCCAUCAGCUGCAAAGUAAAACAGAAAAGAUCAGAUACAGCCAAGCGGAUGCCCUCAAAUAUGUGGGGAUCGAGAGAGAGGCAGAGAUGAAUUAGCUACACCGGAUGCCUACCUCCGUCACCUGCCCCUGAAUCCUCAGCCACCCACUAAUGGUUUUGUCCCUCUCUGUAGCGUCACAUCUAGAAGAGGAGUUUCUAUGAACAGUCGCAGUCUCUUCCCUCUCUCGUGCACUUCUGAAAAUAGAGAGUCCCUCCGUAUUGUUAGCAGGCGCUCCCUGCAGACACCACACCAUCUCCUUCAGUGACAGCAGUCAGCUCUCCCUCUCAUCUUCCCAAACCCACCCACCUACCUGCAAGAGUGUAUACGCCAAGCUUAUGAAAUUAAACUAUUUAAAGUGGAAAUACUAUUAAUCUGUAUCGCUUACUGCUCCAAGAGGGUCACAUGUUUAGUUUUUUUCAUUUCAUCUUGUUAAAGCAAAGAGGUUGUGAUUAUCCAUUAUUCAAGUGUGUUACUCGCUAAGAAGUUUUGUUACUGUACUUAUAGACCGGCUUUUGUUUGACCUCUCAAUACGUAAUGCAAGCUUUUACAUCGUACCUAAUGAUGAUCAGUGAAAUGCAUGUGCUGUCUCUUGGAUAAACAAACCAUUAAACAUGUUAGCCACAGCGUUAGCUUCAGACAGACUCUGCUCUGUGCAGUCUCUCAGUUAUGUAGUGUGAUGUUACCCACUGCCUGUUCGUCAGAAGAUCUUGACCACGUUUGACAGCUUUGUGUGUGCUUCUAUGAACCUUUUCAGCAGCUAGCAUCAGCACCACGUCUCUAUGGUGAAAUAAGUUAUUGUGCAUUUAUAUCAUUGUUCUGCAAAAAUAGGCAACCAAGACAAGAAACCGACUGACUGAAUGUAACCUCUAGACGAUGGUGAAGAGAUCUCAUCCCUCUUUUCAUUUUACACAUUAACCCAUUCUAUUGGUACUCUGAGCAACGUUCAUGCACAUCCAACAUUUAUCGUCAUGUUUACAUGAUCUUGAGGCCUUCACACUUUUUGUGAAGGAAAUAAUUAAUACAUUAACAAGUCACACAGUAAAUGUCUUCCUUGUAAGUGCCAAAUGAUUCCACACAGGAAAAGGCUGAAGGUGUGGAUGUGUUGCAUAAUUAACAGGUAAAAUGUAAAAGGUAACCGUUGCAAGGUUAUAACCAUGGGAAAAGCAAAAUUAUCAGUGUUUGACCAAAUAUUAAAGUCCCCCACAUGUGAAUGUAAAAUAUCUUUCAUCAUCUUUAUUUUUUUUAUAUGUCCAGAUUUGUUAUUCACCCUGUUUUUCAUUUAUAAAACAUUAAAGCCCACUUUGAAACGAGAUCUUUCUCAAUAGGGAUGAACAAAAUGGAGUUUACUGCUAUGUACAGUGUAUGCCUAUAAAAAUAAAAGUUUAACUUUAUACAUUAAAA